UUGAACGAAACCUCUGGCCAGAUGAUGUUGUGCUGGUCCUUUGGGGCAUUGUGCACGCUCUCUUGGUCACUUGUUUCUUCUCUCCACCUGUGCACUGCCUGUAGACAUGCUCUGUGUCUAUGAUAAAUGUUACACACACACAUGUAUGGUGGGAUGUUAUAUAUAUAAUAAAAAUA
rnacentral:misc_RNA from 1 species